rfam:Pseudozyma hubeiensis SY62 DNA, scaffold: PHS19.
UCCGAAUUAGUUUAGUGGCUAUGACGGCGCCUUGUCAAUUCAGUUUGACGCUUCUCCGCGCAGAAAUCGGCGCAGACCCGGGUUCAAUUCCCGGAUUCGGAG